rnacentral:snRNA from 1 species
UCCGGGCGGAGGACAUUGUC